rnacentral:rRNA from 1 species
UACGUAGGGGGCAAGCGUUGUCCGGAUUUAUUGGGCGUAAAGCGCUCGCAGGUGGUCCGCUGCGUCGUGCGUGAAAGACCCCGGCUCAACUGGGGGAUGUCGUGCGAUACGGGCGGACUGGAGGCCAGUAGGGGGAUGCGGAAUUCCGGGUGUAGCGGUGAAAUGCGCAGAUAUCAGGAGGAACACCGGUGGCGAAGGCGGGUCUCUGGGCCGAUACUGACGCUGAGGAGCGAAAGCGUGGGGAGCGAACAGG